ACGACGCUGGCGGCGUGCCUAAUACAUGCAAGUCGAACGGUCUUUUCUAUGGAAGCUUGCUUCCACUGAGAAGAUAGUGGCGAACGGGUGAGUAACACGUGGGUAACCUGCCCAUAAGAGGGGGAUAACAUCCGGAAACGGGUGCUAAUACCGCAUAGUUUUCUUGAUCGCAUGAUCGGGAAAGGAAAGACGGCCUUUGUGCUGUCGCUUAUGGAUGGACCCGCGGCGUAUUAGUUAGUUGGUGAGGUAACGGCUCACCAAGACGAUGAUACGUAGCCGACCUGAGAGGGUGAUCGGCCACAUUGGGACUGAGACACGGCCCAAACUCCUACGGGAGGCAGCAGUAGGGAAUCUUCCGCAAUGGACGAAAGUCUGACGGAGCAACGCCGCGUGAGUGAAGAAGGUUUUCGGAUCGUAAAACUCUGUUGUCAGAGAAGAACAAGUUGGAGAGUAACUGCUCCAGCCUUGACGGUAUCUGACCAGAAAGCCACGGCUAACUACGUG
rnacentral:rRNA from 1 species